UUCCGUUUUGGGGUACCUGCGGAGGGAUCAUUACACAAAUAUGAAGGCGGGCUGGAACCUCUCGGGGUUACAGCCUUGCUGAAUUAUUCACCCUUGUCUUUUGCGUACUUCUUGUUUCCUUGGUGGGUUCGCCCACCACUAGGACAAACAUAAACCUUUUGUAAUUGCAAUCAGCGUCAGUAACAAAUUAAUAAUUACAACUUUCAACAACGGAUCUCUUGGUUCUGGCAUCGAUGAAGAACGCAGCGAAAUGCGAUAAGUAGUGUGAAUUGCAGAAUUCAGUGAAUCAUCGAAUCUUUGAACGCACAUUGCGCCCUUUGGUAUUCCAAAGGGCAUGCCUGUUCGAGCGUCAUUUGUACCCUCAAGCUUUGCUUGGUGUUGGGCGUCUUGUCUCUAGCUUUGCUGGAGACUCGCCUUAAAGUAAUUGGCAGCCGGCCUACUGGUUUCGGAGCGCAGCACAAGUCGCACUCUCUAUCAGCAAAGGUCUAGCAUCCAUUAAGCCUUUUUCAACUUGACCUCGAUCAGUAGGUUCCCGCUCC
rnacentral:rRNA from 1 species